rnacentral:rRNA from 1 species
GAUGAACGCUGGCGGCGUGCCUAACACAUGCAAGUCGAACGCUCGCAAGAGAGUGGCGCACGGUUGAGUAACACGUAGCUAAUCUGCCCUCAAGACAAGGAUACUGUAGGAAACUACUGCUAAUAACUUGAUAAGCUUACGGACUGUAGAGGUCUAUAAGAAAGAUUUAUCGCUUGAGGAUGAGGCUGCGCGCCAUCAGCUAGUUGGUAAGGUAAUGGCUUACCAAGGCGACGACGGCUAGGGGACCUGAGAGGGUGACCCCCCACACUGGGACUGAGACACGGCCCAGACUCCUACGGGAGGCAGCAGUGAGGAAUAUUGCUCAAUGGGCGCAAGCCUGAAGCAGC